UACGUAGGUGGCAAGCGUUGUCCGGAAUUAUUGGGCGUAAAGCGCGCGCAGGUGGUUUCUUAAGUCUGAUGUGAAAGCCCACGGCUCAACCGUGGAGGGUCAUUGGAAACUGGGAGACUUGAGUGCAGAAGAGGAAAGUGGAAUUCCAUGUGUAGCGGUGAAAUGCGUAGAGAUAUGGAGGAACACCAGUGGCGAAGGCGACUUUCUGGUCUGCAACUGACACUGAGGCGCGAAAGCGUGGGGAGCAAACAGG
rnacentral:rRNA from 1 species